UACGGAGGGUGCAAGCGUUGUUCGGAAUCACUGGGCGUAAAGGGCGUGUAGGCGGUCUGCUAAGUCUGAUGUGAAAUCCCGAGGCUUACCCUCGGAAGUGCAUUGGAGACUGGCGGGCUAGAGUCCCGGAGAGGAGGGUGGAAUUCCUGGUGUAGCGGUGAAAUGCGUAGAUAUCAGGAGGAACACCGGUGGCGAAGGCGGCCCUCUGGACGGUGACUGACGCUGAGACGCGAAAGCGUGGGGAGCAAACAGG
rnacentral:rRNA from 1 species